rnacentral:rRNA from 1 species
AUUGAACGCUGGCGGCAGGCCUAACACAUGCAAGUCGAGCGAGCGGCGGACGGGUGAGUAAUGUCUGGGAAACUGCCUGAUGGAGGGGGAUAACUACUGGAAACGGUAGCUAAUACCGCAUACCAUCAGAUGUGCCCAGAUGGGAUUAGCUAGUGGGUGGGGUAACGGCUCACCUAGGCGACGAUCCCUAGCUGGUCUGAGAGGAUGACCAGCCACAACGGGACGGAGAAACGGUCCCGACCCCUACGGGGGGCAGCAGGGGGGAAUAUUGCACAAUGGGCGCAAGCCUGAUGCAGCCAUGCCGCGGGUGGGAAGAAGGCCUUCGGGUUUUAAAGCACUUUCAGCGGGGAGGCGUUACCCGCAGAAGAAGCACCGGCUAACUCCGUGCCAGCAGCCGCGGUAAUAC